AGGAAAUCUGCCCGAGAGCACAGACAAGAAGCUGGCUCCGCCGCGUGCUCCUGUGACUGUACACUAAGUGCUCUGCAAACUGGUCUGUGGACCCUAAAGCACCUAAAUCAUCCGUGUGCAUUUGCUAAACACGCAACUCACUGGGCCCCACUCCCAUGUGUUCUGAUUUUGCGAGCUCAGAUCUGUGGAAGUGACUUAAGCAAAUGCCCCAGUCCUGCCAGCACAGAGGGCCGACUGCCACGGACCAGGUGGCUUGAACAACAGAAAUCUAUCGUCUCACAGUUUGGGAGCCUGGAAGUCCAAGAUCAAGGUGUUUCAGCGGGAUUGGUUCCUUUGAGGGCUGUGAGGGAGAGUCCAGUCCCUGCCCUCGCCUGGCUCACGGUGGUUUGCUGACAGCCCUCCUGCGCCCUGGCUUGUAGGAGCGUCACCGCCCUCUCUGCAUCAAUCAUAUAAUGCUCUUCCUGCGUGGCUUACAUUUCUAUGGAACCUCGAUACUCUACAAUCCCAGAAACAACUUGGCGAUGUCUGCUCCCCAGCCCCCCGCCCCCGCUCAACCACAGAGACACCCCGAGGACUGUUUGUCCCAAGAAGCUCUAAGGCAACCAUUCGAAAAGGUUGUUGCAACGAAUGAGAAAGAUUCUGCAACGACAGGAUGGGACGGGCCGGAGAGGCAAAGCUGUGCAAUUAUGUCCCCACUGUGGCUCCGAGCAGAAGCCCUGUGACUUGCAAUACGGCACGAGCCGCAGUGGCUGCGUCGGCCGAGCUCCUUAUAAAUGGCAAUCGCUGUGUCACAUCCUCACCUUUCUUAUCUCUGAUUGCAGCAACCUCAGCAUGGACUAAAAAUCACUAUCUCUCUGUGACAGAAGAGGAAACGAGAGCUUGGGUGGGACCAGCCCUCCUUUGAAACCAGCCUAUGUUUCAAAUUUGGGAAGGGACAGAGCUGAAUUUGGCUGAUGGGUCCCACGUACCAUUCAGGUCCACACUCACCACUGCUCUGGAAGGCGACUGCUACCUGUCACAUUCAUCUCCCCACGACCCAUAGUACUCGCCGAGGACCUGCUGCUUUCUCCUAAAAGCUCCGCACUCCCCUCCUGCCCCAUCUGUGCCCAGAGCUGAUGCCCUUGCCUCCUAAUCCACCACGCACACCCCCUGCCUGCUCCUGCACGACUGUUCCCUGCUUUCACAUCAAUGACCAGAAAACAAGUGUCCUGCCCAAGACCUACCCUCUGCUGGCCCUCCGAGACUCACUCCGUCAUCAACUUAAGGAGUUCUCUUCUUCACUUACCCCUUCUCUCCUGCAGCGUUAAUAUAACCUUUUAUAUUCUGUCAUUUCCAUCAGUCCCCAGUAUGCUCUAAAACCUUAUGUUUUUUUAAAGAAAUCAUUCUUUAACUCCACGUCCUUCUUCAACCCACUCCAAAGUCCUGACUGUAUCCUCCAGCCGGCCGAGCGUGGCCGAGUCCGGUCCCCCAGCCCCAGGGAUGCUUCUCACC